rnacentral:rRNA from 1 species
GACAGAGGGGGCAAGCGUUGCUCGGAAUUACUGGGCGUAAAGGGCGCGUAGGCGGGAUGGCAAGUCGGUUGUGAAAUCCUUCGGCUCAACCGAAGAACGUCGAUCGAUACUGCCAUUCUUGAGGGAUGCAGAGGAGACUGGAAUUCCCGGUGUAGCGGUGAAAUGUGUAGAUAUCGGAAGGAACAUCAGUGGCGAAGGCGGCUUACUGGACCCAAACUGACACUGAGGAGCGAAAGCGUGGGGAGCAAACAGG